rnacentral:rRNA from 1 species
UGCCGCGUGAGUGAUGAAGGCCUUAGGGUUGUAAAGCUCUUUCGCUAGGGACGAUAAUGACGGUACCUAGAUAAGAAGCCCGGCUAACUUCGUGC